GGAGGAAGCUGUCCUGUCUGUGUGCUC
rnacentral:piRNA from 1 species